CAGGCAUGCUGGAGCCCCGCAGCGGCGCCUGGGCGCUUUGACGACAGACACCUGCCGCCCGACACCGUAACUUCAACCGGGGCUUGA
rfam:Sinorhizobium saheli strain LMG 7837 C723, whole genome shotgun sequence.